UAGAAAUUUAGUACCGCUUUGAUUAUUCUAAAAGCCUGAAGAAAUUUUGAAUUUUCUCCUAUUUCUCAGAAGGUGUUUCAGUGUUUGGAUUAUGGUUUAGAGGGCGAGGGGUUUUCCGUCUACAUAGCGAAAGGUAACGCUCUUCUUCCCUCCGCUCUCUUUGCCGACGCAUCGAACUACGCCGCCGCUUCCCAUCCUUCUCGUAUCCUCUCGUCCUCCGGAGCCAGCUCCCUGCUCCUGUUUGACCAACCAAACCCUAGCUAGGUUUCUUCCCCUUUCGACGCGCUACAUUACAUUAUGAAAGUGUUACAGGCAAAUGCCGGGACUCUCACCAACUAUGAGGUUCUCGAAUUUCUACGCGGGAGAGGCGCGACGAGCGACCCUAUGGGGUGCCUUGGUGCGGCUGCGCCUUCCGAGUGCAAGUCAGAUAAAGGAAUCAAUCAAUGAGUUUUUGAAUAAAACCGAAAAGUUCAAACUUGCAAAAGCGGAGAAGCUCAAUAUCAUAAACCUGCGGCCAUCCAACCCAGCUAUUAUUGAUACGAUUAUAGAAUACAGUGAGAAGUGUCUAGCAAAAGACGACGUUAAAGGGAUAGACGAAGUUCAGGAACUUGUGGAUCUAGUGCUGGAGGUUUUACCACCGCCUUCACCAAGAUCUGAAGAUGAGAUGCAAGGUCAGGAAGAGAUGCCCACUGAGAAAGCAAUGGAAGAAGAUUAGUUUUGUUUACAACAAAUUCUUAGUUCAAUGCUCAAAAGCGAUUGUACAUGGAUUUCAUCAUGCUAAAGAGGAGGUAAAAGAUCUAGGAGGCAGGAGACGAUCUACGAGUAUAUGAUGGUCACAAGGUGCUCACGAUGGCCUUCAAAUUGUCGCAAGCAUCCAAUUAGCUGCAUUUGUGACUGUACUGUUCAACGACUUGUAUAAAGGGAAAAACAAAAUUCUAUACAAGCAGCAAGGUACAGUUUCAGAAAAAAUAUUACUAUUCCUUGUGAUAUUCUACAUCUACCAAUUGGAGAUCAAGUACCUGCUGAUGGUUUUUUUUUAUAUAUAUAUCUGAUUAUUCGUUUCUAAUUAAUGAAUCAAGUCUAAUAGUUGAGAGUGAACAUGCCUGUGUUAUUGCAAAGAAUUCUUUCUUAUGAAGCAGAGCAGGAGGUAGAAUGGUGACAAUCUCUUAUCCUAAACCUAGAAUUAAAGUUGACAGCAUGGUAUCUCACGCUUAAUAACUCAGAUAGCAUGCUGUUUUGUGCUGUUUAUGUACUUUUUCACCCACACUAAGCAUGGGAUGUCGUCUCUUUCACCCACCAUGACCGAGGUCAACAUUGCAACGCGGCUAAAGAAAGAAGGUGACAAUUUCUCCAGGUGAAGUGCUCUGUGAGGAUAAAGCCACAGCGGAAAUAGAGUGCAUAGAAGAAGGAUUUCGUGCCAAGAUAACAUGGUGAUGGAACUAAAGAGAUAAAAGUUGGUGAGGGAGUGGUUGACUAGAUUGGAUCAACAUCACAAGGGGCCUAUUGUAUGUCUAGGUGAAGCUGUUAAGGCUGCAGAUCACACAGGAAAAGUACACUAUCUUGUAACUUAGUUCUCAGAAUAUCACCAAUGUACUGAUUAUAGUUUUGUUGUGCUAUCGCUAUAUACCUUACCAAUUAAUUUCAUCUUCCAAUGUUUGGAACCAGAAACUGUGUUUGAACAUCUUAUGGUCUUUAUACUGUUUUUAAAUUACUGCAGAUGAUAAAGAAGCUUUUUGAUUAAAAAAAAAAGCUUCUAUAACUUGCUCUGUUGGAACAAAACACUAUUAUGAGUUUUUGCUAGCCAAUCACUAUAUGUUCUAUUCUUAAGGUACAACAUCUACUAAUUUGUUCAGCUUAAUACAAGUAUAACAUGUUCAGUUCUUGAACAAGUAAAUUUCUUGCUCAAAACUAUCACAGACUCAAUGUCAUGACCUCCUCAACAGCACUACAAUCUCUUGUGAUCCUGUUAGGCUGGUACCAAAAUUUUGAUGGGAGCAGUUUAGACAAGCUCAUGCCAUCAUAAUAUUACUCAUAAGACACACAAAAGUAAUGAUUCUAAUGUAUCUCACUGCAAAUACUAACUAUAUCGCAUUUGGAAGGUUACAACUUACAAGAUAAUUUUGCAAAUUACAAACCAUAACUGGAUACGUGGGUAUUAAAAUUCUUAGGUGGUUCCCUAUAAAGAAAGUUAUAGUAAUAAUUCCUUUAGCUAGCCAAAAAAAUAAAAUCCUACGCACUCUCUUGUCAAUAAUGUAGAGGCAAGAGAUGGUAGCUAGAAUAGGAAAUUGAUUGCAACAUGUAAAGUUACUAACUACAAUACUAUAAAAAUCUCCGAAUGCUUGAAUACAUUCUCGAAUCUAACUGAAUACUGCUAUCUCGCAAUCAAGAGUAUGGGUAUUACUCUGUGCGCUCCUAGGUAAUUAUAAUAUGGAGCAUAGGAUUACCUCGUGUCUGCUCCAACUUGAAAACAUAAUUUUGUAUAAUUAUUGGUGGUUUAAGCCAUGCAACCAAAAUUGCAAUGAUCCAUGGAUAAUCGAAGAGAGCUUAUCUGCAACCAGAGUAUGUCAUUUUGUAUCAGUGCCAAGUUGUUUUACAAUGUAAUUCUAUUUGACUAUUAACAUAAUUGGGUAUCAACAUACCUUAAUCAGGAACUAUAGCAAAUAGCAUUUGAACCUCAAGUACAAAACACCAUAUAUCAACCUAUCUUAUUGUUAUUGCACAAAGAUGGCAUCUAAGAUAACAUAUAAUGUAAAUUGUCAAUAUGAAUAAUAACUAGCAUGUUAUUAAUAACAAAAAAUAUUGCAAGCAAACCAAGAAAAAGAAAUAGAUACACUGAAAUUAUUCCCAACACUACAUCACAGUUAACAUAACUGACUACUUGAGAUCAAUUUUACCGAACUCAACCUAUAAAAUGCUUGUAUUGAAUUUGCCAUUUAUGAUAAUUUCUCUCCACUAAUCUGUGCCAAUCAUCUUUCCUUUUAACCUAUCAAACACAACAAGCCUCUCUUUAUUUAACACUAUAUCAUAACCCAACACUAGCCUACCUCUCUCACCCUAGUCCUUUGACAAUCUACACAAGUGUUUUAUGACAACAGCUGGUGAUCUCAUUCCUCCCAUGACGAUUUCAAUCACUUUGUUCCAAUUAGUCUUUUCAAUGUAGAAUCGUCCGAGAUAGUAUCCAUACCUAGUUAUGAUUGUUUGUCUGAUUAGUUGCUCACUUGAAUCAAUACCACAUCCUUCGUGGAUACUGUUGUUUACAUCAAAAGACAAAUAGAAAUUGAUUGGAUUCACAUUUUACCCUUUAACACAUCAACCAGAUGAAAUCACGAGCAGAAGAUGAAACAACUCAUUUGGUAAAUAACUAUAAAAUACUAAGAUUCUCAUUGGAUAUAAGUUGCCAAAGAAACUUAAAGCAUGUCUUAAAGUUAUGAAAAAAUAGCAUGAAUAAAAUUACUUUUAAAUCUAAAAUAAAAUUUUUUAAUACAAUAGUUUUGAUAUCAUAUUAAAAUUUAAGAGGAACCUCAAUCAAAUUACAAUUGGCAAAACAUUUAUAUAUAUGUUUUUGUGUCAUUAAGUCCUCAACAUUAGAAUGAAAUUAAAGAGGCAGAGGGUUUUGCUUCAUCUCACUCAUUUUUUUAACAACCGACUGUUGUUAAAAUUGAUGGUCCAAAAUAGAAAUUUAUUGAUCAAAUAAACAACACAUAAAAAAGUGGAAAAUUUUAACAAUUAAAGUUAAUCAAGCUAUUUAAUCAACAAACUAUGUUUCCCUCUUGACACAAAGUUUUUGCACAGUUUAUAUAAUCAAAUAUAUAUGAAAUAUAUAUAAAAUUAAUGAGUAUGGUUAAAAUAGAAUUUAUCAUUGAAUCAAAUUUUAUAAUUUUUUUUUUUUGACUAAGCAGUGUUAGAAUUUUAUAUUAAUGAUAUUAAAAUAAAAUAUAUAGUAAUGAAUGAGGAGUGAAAUUAAUAUUUUAACAAAAAAUAUUAAUUAAAUUUUAGUUAUCUGAUUAUAAAUUAAUUGGAAUGAGAUUUCAUUCUAAUUAAUGAAUUUUAUUCCAGAUUGUUUGAAAGAUAAUUAGGAUGGUUAUCUUUUAAUUAAUAAUAUUAGAUUAAUUACAUUGAUGAAAUUACUUAUGAUCUUGUCAUUAAUAAAAUUAUUAAUGAGUUAUAAUUAUUGAUAAAAUUAAUGAGAUUAAUUUAUAUUUUAAUAAUUUAAAUGUCCAAAUAUGGAUAUGCUCAAUUAACAAUUAUGGUUUCAUUGAUAGUAUUAAAUUUGGGUACAAUUCGGUGUGACUUUGGAUUCAUGUAUGUUUGAGUGUACAGAAAUUUAUAAACCACAUAUGAUACAUGAGGAGCUAGUCUCUACAAGAGCGGUGUAAAAAUAUUCUUCGACACAAUCUUGGCACUAAAAAAAUAUUAUUCGACAAGUAUGUAAAUCCAUCUUGCUAAAAUAAAGACAUUUACUUGGAAAUUUUAUUGAGGAAAAUUGGAAUAUGUUGUAGAAUAGAUUAAUAAAUUUUGAUAUACUGAGUUCUUAAUCCUUUGGAUUUUGGCUUAAUUAUAUUGGCUCGUUUAUCCACUUUCAUUUGGUGCCAGUGGUUAAACCAAUUAAUUCAACAUUUUUAUACAAUCCUAGUUUUUGGUUAUAGUUAGAUAACAUGGUUUAACAUUAGAAACAUUUACAAUCCUUACGAACUAUAAGUAUUUUCUAGCAAGUCAUAUUCUAGCGUUUUCUUUGAAUCUAUAUCAACUUCUAAUGUUUGUCUUUUGACUAAAUUAAUGUUUUGUUCACCUAUGAGGCAUGUUUCUAUUUUCUAGCUUAACUUUAUUGUGUUCUCAAUGAAUGAAUGCAUUACAUUGGUUGGAUCAAGUGUCUAGUACUUCAAAACUAUAUUAUUAUUUUUAUAUAGUGAUGAACAAAUAAAAUAUUGCAUGAAAUAUGAAUUGAGGUUUAAUUGUGGUUGUAUUUUGGAUUUAUAUCGCUGGAGCAACUAAAGACAAUUGAAACCGGAGGGAUGCUUUAAGGAAAUGUUCAAAAUUGAUUGAACUUUUGAUUUUUUAGAAUCAAGUGAAGUUAUGAAGUUGGUUAGUUCUAAAGGAUACUUCAAAGGAUCUUCUAUGCCAUCAAAUAUAAUCAAGUGAAGUUAUGAAGUUGGUUAGUUCUAAAGGAUACUUCAAAGGAUCUUCUAUGCCAGCAUUUGAUGGUAUUGUGAACUGCGACCUUGUUUUAUGUGCUCUUGGUGGACUUAUUGCUCACCUAUCAAUACUAAUGCUGGGUUGCUUUGUACCUCGUGAAGAAUUAUCUUCUGUUGAUACCAUCUUUACACGUUUUGGUGCGACUGAUCGAAACAUGUCCGGUGAAAGCACUUUGUAUGUUUAAUGCUCAAAAGAAGCAUCAGCUCUUUAUAAUGCUACCAAAGAUUGUCUUGUUUUUUUUAUGAGCUUACUGGGGGAACGAGCACAUUUGAUGGUUAUGCGAUUGCCUGUGUAGUUUUUGUUUGCUGAAAUUACCGCAAGUGCUGGCCCAAAGAUAAAACAGCUGAUCAGUCGAAAUUUCACUCCGUCCUGCAUGAGGAAUGGUUGAAAUCGCUCUGAGAUAUUUCAAAGCACAGUGUAAGUCUGAGUGAUGAAGACAUCUGAUAUAUUUUACUCUGUUUGUGGCACGAAAUGAAGAGCUUUUAUAAAAGCCGGUAGUAUCUUCCGAUCACCGCAUCUUAUUUGACAUGCAUUCAUUUUGAAUAGAUUUCCGACCAGGCUACUGAAGGCUUGCAUUUUUUUUUUUGGCAUAGAUGCAGUGCAUUUGCGUUGGAAUAUAAUGUAUCGUGCAUUCUUUUUUGUAAUUAAUACCUAAAAUGCAGUAUUAAGUAAUGUAUUUUUUUUUCUUUUUACCGAUAAUUUGUCAUUAGAAAGGGCCAUGUUUGUUAACAACAAUUUAUUUUUGCUAUUUUUUAUUUAAUGAAUUAAUUUGGAUGUGUAUAUUAA